GUGCUCACUUCAGCAGCACAUGUACUAAAAUUGGAACGAUAUAGAGAAAAUUAGCAUGGCCCUUGUGCAAGGAUGAAACACAAAUUUAUGAAGUGUUACAUAUUUUU
ensembl:snRNA U6 U6 spliceosomal RNA